UGGGGAAUAUUGCACAAUGGGCGCAAGCCUGAUGCAGCCAUGCCGCGUGUAUGAAGAAGGCCUUCGGGUUGUAAAGUACUUUCAGCGGGGAGGAAGGGAGUAAAGUUAAUACCUUUGCUCAUUGACGUUACCCGCAGAAGAAGCACCGGCUAACUCCGUGCCAGCAGCCGCGGUAAUACGGAGGGUGCAAGCGUUAAUCGGAAUUACUGGGCGUAAAGCGCACGCAGGCGGUUUGUUAAGUCAGAGGUGAAAUCCUCGGGCUCAACCUGGGAACUGCAUCUGAUACUGGGAAGCUUGAGUCUCGUAGAGGGGGGUAGAAUUCCAGGUGUAGCGGUGAAAUGCGUAGAGAUCUGGAGGAAUACCGGUGGCGAAGGCGGCCCCCUGGACGAAGACUGACGCUCAGGUGCGAAAGCGUGGGGAGCAAACAGG
rnacentral:rRNA from 1 species